rnacentral:misc_RNA from 1 species
CUGGAUUCGACGGGAUUGUGAGGCCUUAGGAGCAUGCCGAGGGGCGGUUUGCCUCGUAAAAAGCCGCAAAAAAAAUAAUUGCAAACGACUCGCAAUUCGAAUCUGCUGCUUUAGCAGCUUAAUCAGCCUAAGAAACUGAAGAUUCCCUCUCUCCCUAGCCUCCGCUCUUAGGACGGGGAUCAAGAGAGGUCAAACCCAAAAGAGAUCGCGUGGAUGUCCUGCCUGGGGCUGAAGCGUUAAACCCAAUCAGGCUAGUUUGUUAGUGGCGUGUCCAUCCGCAGCUGACCGGCGAAUGUGAAGAUUG